rnacentral:rRNA from 1 species
CCUACGGGAGGCAGCAGUGGGGAAUAUUGCACAAUGGGGGAAACCCUGAUGCAGCGACGCCGCGUGAGUGAAGAAGUAUUUCGGUAUGUAAAGCUCUAUCAGCAGGGAAGAAAUAAAGUCCUUCGGACGUUGGACGGGACGUGACGAAGAAGCCCCGGCUAACUACGUGCCAGCAGCCGCGGGAAUACGUAGGGGGCAAGCGUUAUCCGGAAUUACUGGGUGUAAAGGGAGAGUAGGAGGCAAGGUAAGCGAUAUGUGAAAGCCUUAGGCUUAACCGGAGGAUUGCAUAACGAACUAUCUAGCUAGAGUACAGGAGCGGAAAGCGGAAUUCCUAGUGUAGCGGUGAAAUGCGUAGAUAUUAGGAAGAACACCAGUGGCGAAGGCGGCUUUCUGGACUGAAACUGACGCUGAGGCUCGAAAGCGUGGGGAGCGAACAGGAUUAGAUACCCUGGUAGUC